CAAAGCCUAGGAGGCAGGUCCCAUAUUCUGUGAUUGAGUCUUGUUGAGCGAUUUAUGGAUUCGGUACAGAGCAACCCCAACCCAAUUCCGGCGAUGACAAGUUAUCAGCCACUGGAGAGACCGUUGGUGGUGAUAGGGCCACAGUUCCUGGCACAGUAUCCGGUGGACCUCACUGUUGCCAGCAAGCUCUUGACUCUUGGAGAAAACAAUUUUACAGUCACUGACGUUCACGGCACUCUCAUAUUCCAGGUGAAGAGCAAACUGUUAAGCAUCCAUGACCGUCGUUUUCUGCAAGACGCCGCUGGCAACACCCUUGUCACUCUCCGGCAGAAGAUAAUGACUGCCCAUAGGAGGUGGGAGGUUUUCAGAGGAGAGAGCACAGACACUAAAGAUUUGCUUUUCAGUGCAAAGAAGUCAUCGAUACUUCAAUUUAAGACGGAAUUAGAUGUAUUCUUAGGCAGUAAUACAUCAGAAGAUGUUCCUGAUUUCAAGGUCAAAGGAACCUGGAAGGAGAGAUCCUGCACUAUAUAUCUUGGACUGUCCAAUACCAUCGUUGCACAAAUGCAUAGGAGACACACUCUGAAGACUGCUUUGUUGGAAGCGGACAAUUUUGCGGUGACUGUGUAUCCUAAUGUGGAUUAUGCCUUCAUAGUG
rnacentral:misc_RNA from 1 species